AAGAACUUAUUUACAUGUAUGCCAAGUGUGGAUACCCAUGUCUUCUGUAUGCUCGUAAACUAUCUGACCACAGGAAAGGACGAGACAUCUUCUCAUUACAGCAUACCGAAGACAUGGGUUUCCUUACAGGGCAGUCAUACUGUUUCUCCAAAUGUAACGAACAGGUCUCCAAGACGAUCAUUUCGCAUUUUCUGGCGUACUCAAGUCUCAGCCUGUGCCGAAAUUGGAGCUUUGCAAGAAGGUAUGAGCACCCAUCAAUGCAUAAUGGAAAGGGAAUUUCUCUGAAACGUUGUAGUUACCAGGUAUGUACGCAAAAUUCGGAAGUGGGCACAAGGUAGGCAAACUGUUUGACAAAAUGUCUGAAAGGGAAGUCAUCUCAUCGACCGCAUUGAUUGCGGGAAAAUCUCUCUCUCUAUCUAUAUAUACAAAUAUUUAAAAUCUAAUCGGCAGAUGUAAAACCGAACUGUUAACCUUUACCGGCAUCCUCCUAAACUGUGCUCCAAUUUGGACCUUUGGUUACAGUCUUCCAUCAAAACAUAACUAAAAGUAGAAUCUUUUCAAAUAUUCUAAUUGGAAAUGCCCUGAUAGAUAUGUUUGUGUAAUGUGGUUGCAUACGCAACAUACGCAAGUCAUGUGAAUUGGAUCGCAAAAUGUUUGGAAGAGAUGUGAUCUCAUUUAAUGCAAUGAUUGCAGGAUAUCACAAACUGAGUUUGUUGAAAAGUCUUCGGAAACCUUUAAGCAAAUGCUAUAUGUCAAACCAGACUCCACAAGUUUCGUCCGCAAUCUACCAGGCUGUGAAAAAAUAAGAGCUUUACUACAGGACAAGGAAAAGGCGGCUGAUCUGCACCUAGUUCUCCAGCAAAGAGGCGGUGCAAGAGGUUGAUGCUGGCGAUGAUCGCCGCAGGGAUAGACUGAAAAAUUAAAUCAAUGACAUCUUCUGCAAGAGAAAUUAACCUGGGCGCGUGAUGUUGAGAUCCAAAGGCGCUUCAAGACAAUUUCAUGGCGUCAGAAUUAUUUAAAGAUCCCCCCCCAGACAACGCUUCAUUUGAUGCAGGCCUCCAAAAUUUGAAUAGAAAAAAAUUAUUUCAGGUUUUGCACAAAAUGGCUUUUGCUACGAUGCUCUCAUAAUCUUUGAACAAAUGAAGCACUCUGGAACAUACUCUGACAAUGUAAGCUUGAUUUGUGUUUUGUUUGCCUCUAGCCAUGCAGGUUUAGUAGAUGAGGGCUGUAAAUAUUUCAAUAGUAUGAGCAACUUUAUUGCAAAAUGUCUGAAACCAGUCAUGAUGUAUGUGCAUAGUUGACCUUAUCAGCCGAGCUUGCUAUCUCGAGGGAACUCUAAACAUUAUCAUCAAAGUUCCAAUUACACCUCUGCUGGUUGUGUGGACAUGUCCCUUGGUGUCUGUAGAUUACAUAAGAAUAUACAGUUGAUAGUAUUACAUCAACCCUCCUUUCUGAGCUGGGUUCCCAAAAUGAUAAUUAAUGUUCUUCUGCAAACUUCUAUGCAGAAAUGGGCACGUGGGAAGAUUUUAAAAUGGUAACGAGAUUUUAUUAGAGGAGGAAUUAAAAAAAUAGCUACUUAUAGUUGGAUUGCAGGCCAUAAAAUGGUGCAUGCAUUUUGUGUAGACAGAUCAUAUCCACAGACACAGGAGUCCAUACAAAGUUGGAGAAUUUGUCUUAGGAGAUGAAGACACCAAGGUAUUUUGCAGAUUCAAAGGCAUUUACUAAUUGAUAUGGAGAAGGUAAAACGAUCAUUCCUCUGCCUCCAUAUUGAGAAGUUGGGAAAUUGCAUUUGGAAUUUUGAACACGGUCCCUGGAACAUCUGUUAGAGUUGUCAAGGACCUUUGAGUAAUGUUGUACCUGCCACACUGCACCUGUGUUUAGAUUGUUUCAGGACAACUUCUUGGUUAUAUCAUUUCAAUCAAGGACAAUGUUCCUGUGAAUAUAAUUGGUGAUGCUAAUGAAGCAAUAUGUAAACAUAGGUUUGCACUGUAAUAAGUUCACGUCAUUUCAAACAAGGACAAUGUUCCUGUGAAUAUAAUCGGUGAUGCUAGUGAAGCAAUCUGUAAAGUGUAAACAUAGGCUUGCACUGUAAUAAGGUGCACCAUUUGGGACCUUUAGUAAUAAAAAAAGGGAAUGGAUUUUAUUUUCA